AUACUUACCUGGUGCUGGGCUGUUAGGUGGUCAUGAUGGCCGGCGCCCCAAGUGGAGGCCGACCAUUGCACUGCGGUCGGCUGAAGCUUGCCACUACCCCAAACUGGGGCAGAUGGGGCAUGCAAUUUUUGGUAGUGGGGCUAGGCGUUCGCGCCGGCCCCUU
rnacentral:snRNA from 1 species